UAAUGUCUGGGAAACUGCCUGAUGGAGGGGGAUAACUACUGGAAACGGUAGCUAAUACCGCAUAACGUCGCAAGACCAAAGAGGGGGACCUUCGGGCCUCUUGCCAUCGGAUGUGCCCAGAUGGGAUUAGCUUGUUGGUGGGGUAACGGCUCACCAAGGCGACGAUCCCUAGCUGGUCUGAGAGGAUGACCAGCCACACUGGAACUGAGACACGGUCCAGACUCCUACGGGAGGCAGCAGUGGGGAAUAUUGCACAAUGGGCGCAAGCCUGAUGCAGCCAUGCCGCGUGUAUGAAGAAGGCCUUCGGGUUGUAAAGUACUUUCAGCGGGGAGGAAGGGAGUAAAGUUAAUACCUUUGCUCAUUGACGUUACCCGCAGAAGAAGCACCGGCUAACUCCGUGCCAGCAGCCGCGGUAAUACGGAGGGUGCAAGCGUUAAUCGGAAUUACUGGGCGUAAAGCGCACGCAGGCGGUUUGUUAAGUCAGAUGUGAAAUCCCCGGGCUCAACCUGGGAACUGCAUCUGAUACUGGCAAGCUUGAGUCUCGUAGAGGGGGGUAGAAUUCCAGGUGUAGCGGUGAAAUGCGUAGAGAUCUGGAGGAAUACCGGUGGCGAAGGCGGCCCCCUGGACGAAGACUGACGCUCAGGUGCGAAAGCGUGGGGAGCAAACAGGAUUAGAUACCCUGGUAGUCCACGCCGUAAACGAUGUCGACUUGGAGGUUGUGCCCUUGAGGCGUGGCUUCCGGAGCUAACGCGUUAAGUCGACCGCCUGGGGAGUACGGCCGCAAGGUUAAAACUCAAAUGAAUUGACGGGGGCCCGCACAAGCGGUGGAGCAUGUGGUUUAAUUCGAUGCAACGCGAAGAACCUUACCUGGUCUUGACAUCCACGGAAGUUUUCAGAGAUGAGAAUGUGCCUUCGGGAACCGUGAGACAGGUGCUGCAUGGCUGUCGUCAGCUCGUGUUGUGAAAUGUUGGGUUAAGUCCCGCAACGAGCGCAACCCUUAUCCUUUGUUGCCAGCGGUCCGGCCGGGAACUCAAAGGAGACUGCCAGUGAUAAACUGGAGGAAGGUGGGGAUGACGUCAAGUCAUCAUGGCCCUUACGACCAGGGCUACACACGUGCUACAAUGGCGCAUACAAAGAGAAGCGACCUCGCGAGAGCAAGCGGACCUCAUAAAGUGCGUCGUAGUCCGGAUUGGAGUCUGCAACUCGACUCCAUGAAGUCGGAAUCGCUAGUAAUCGUGGAUCAGAAUGCCACGGUGAAUACGUUCCCGGGCCUUGUACACACCGCCCGUCACACCAUGGGAGUGGGUUGCAAAAGAAGUAGGUAGCUUAACCUUCGGGAGGGCGCUUACCACUUUGUGAUUCAUGACUGGGGUGAAGUCGUAACAAGGUAACCGUAGGGGAACCUGCGGUUGGAUCACCUCCUUACCUUAAAGAAGC
rnacentral:rRNA from 1 species